rnacentral:rRNA from 1 species
UGGGGAAUCUUCCGCAAUGGACGAAAGUCUGACGGAGCAACGCCGCGUGAGUGAUGACGGCCUUCGGGUUGUAAAGCUCUGUUAAUCGGGACGAAUGGUUCUUGUGCGAAUAGUGCAAGGAUUUGACGGUACCGGAAUAGAAAGCCACGGCUAACUACGUGCCAGCAGCCGCGGUAAUACGUAGGUGGCAAGCGUUGUCCGGAAUUAUUGGGCGUAAAGCGCGCGCAGGCGGAUUGGUCAGUCUGUCUUAAAAGUUCGGGGCUUAACCCCGUGAUGGGAUGGAAAAUGCCAAUCUAGAGUAUCGGAGAGGAAAGUGGAAUUCCUAGUGUAGCGGUGAAAUGCGUAGAUAUUAGGAAGAACACCAGUGGCGAAGGCGACUUUCUGGACGAAAACUGACGCUGAGGCGCGAAAGCCAGGGGAGCGAACGGG